AUAAGAUUAUUUAUGCUGAUGCUGUGGAUGAUUGCUCAAUCUAAUCCUUGUGUUAUGUGGAUGUCUGAUCGUUCCUUGCUAUCUUCUGUAGAUGAGCUAGGUAAAAAGGUUAGGAGUGCUAUCAGGAUUAAAAACACACCAAUAAAUCCUAUGUAGCUUUUAAGUUUUAAACGACUGCACUUAAAAGCUGUUUCAUGCGUCCACCUGGGGCUAUCCUUGCAUUGGCUGAGAGUAUCAUAGCAACUGGGGUACAAAAUUGAUGCCAACAUGCUAGACUUUAUAUUGACUGAAAUAUGUUAGAAGAAUCAAGAAUUAUAAAUUCGAUAUGAUACAAUUUUAUGUUAGGAAAAAGUUGUGUUUAGUUAAAUUUGUAGAACUUAUUUUAUUGUAAAAGAAUCUUAAUGACAUGUAAGAUAUUUUAAUUAUCUAUAUGAUUAUAUAUCAUAUAAA